CAGUCGCCGCGGUAAUACAGAGGGUGCGAGCGUUAAUCGGAUUUACUGGGCGUAAAGCGUGCGUAGGCGGCUUCUUAAGUCGGAUGUGAAAUCCCUGAGCUUAACUUAGGAAUUGCAUUCGAUACUGGGAAGCUAGAGUAUGGGAGAGGAUGGUAGAAUUCCAGGUGUAGCGGUGAAAUGCGUAGAGAUCUGGAGGAAUACCGGUGGCGAAGGCGGCCCCCUGGACAAAGACUGACGCUCAGGUGCGAAAGCGUGGGGAGCAAACAGGAUUAGAUACCCCUGUAGUCCCUGUCUCUUAUAC
rnacentral:rRNA from 1 species